UACGUAGGCAGCAAGCGUUGUUCGGAGUUACUGGGCGUAAAGGGUGCGUAGGCGGCUUCUUAAGUCUGGUGUGAAAUCUCCCGGCUCAACUGGGAGGGUGCGCCGGAUACUGAGGGGCUAGAGUGUGGGAGAGGAAAGUGGAAUUCCUGGUGUAGCGGUGAAAUGCGUAGAUAUCAGGAGGAGCACCGGUGGUGUAAACGGCUUUCUGGACCAUAACUGACGCUGAGGCACGAAAGCGUGGGUAGCAAACAGG
rnacentral:rRNA from 1 species